rnacentral:rRNA from 1 species
UACAGAGGGGGCAAGCGUUGUUCGGAAUUACUGGGCGUAAAGGGCGCGUAGGCGGCCUUCUAAGUCGAACGUGAAAUCCCCGGGCUCAACCCGGGAACUGCGUCCGAUACUGGAAGGCUUGAAUCCGGGAGAGGGAUGCGGAAUUCCAGGUGUAGCGGUGAAAUGCGUAGAUAUCAGGAGGAACACCAAUGGCGAAGGCAGCUCGCUGGAACGGUACUGACGCUGAGGCGCGAAAGCGUGGGGAGCGAACAGG